AUAUGUUUUUGGUGGGACAAACUUUGGCCGUACUUCCGGUGGGCCCUUCUAUAUUACUAGUUACGAUUAUGAUGCUCCUAUUGAUGACUAUGGUUUAAGGAGUGAUCCAAAAUGGGGGCACUUGAAAGAUCUUCAUGCUGCUAUUAAGCUCUGUGAACCUGCUCUAGUUGCCGAGGAUUCACCUCAGUAUAUGAAAUUGGGACCAAAGCAGGAGGUUUUCUUUUUGUUGCUUUUUUUAACUUCUUUUUCUGCUGUUAUGCAUCAAUCAAAUAGUGGAUUAAAUAAG